rnacentral:rRNA from 1 species
ACGAACGCUGGCGGCGUGCCUAAUACAUGCAAGUAGAACGCUGAAGGAGGAGCUUGCUUCUCCGGAUGAGUUGCGAACGGGUGAGUAACGCGUAGGUAACCUGCCUGGUAGCGGGGGAUAACUAUUGGAAACGAUAGCUAAUACCGCAUAAGAGUAGAUGUUGCAUGACAUUUGCUUAAAAGGUGCAAUUGCAUCACUACCAGAUGGACCUGCGUUGUAUUAGCUAGUUGGUGGGGUAACGGCUCACCAAGGCGACGAUACAUAGCCGACCUGAGAGGGUGAUCGGCCACACUGGGACUGAGACACGGCCCAGACUCCUACGGGAGGCAGCAGUAGGGAAUCUUCGGCAAUGGACGGAAGUCUGAC